rnacentral:rRNA from 1 species
UAGCUAGUUGGUGAGGUAACGGCUUACCAAGGCGACGAUCUGUAGCGGGUCUGAGAGGAUGAUCCGCCACACUGGAACUGAGACACGGUCCAGACUCCUACGGGAGGCAGCAGUGGGGAAUUUUGGACAAUGGGGGCAACCCUGAUCCUGCCAUGCCGCGUGAGUGAAGAAGGCCUUCGGGUUGUAAAGCUCUUUCGGCCGGGAAGAAAUCGCAUGGGCCAAUACCCUGUGUGGAUGACGGUACCGGAAUAAGAAGCACCAGCUAACUACGUGCCAGCAGCCGCGGUAAUACGUAGGGUGCGAGCGUUAAUCGGAAUUACUGGGCGUAAAGCGUGCGCAGGCGGUUUUGUAAGACAGGCGUGAAAUCCCCGGGCUCAACCUGGGAACUGCGUUUGUGACUGCAAGGCUAGAGUACGGCAGAGGGGGGUGGAAUUCCACGUGUAGCAGUGAAAUGCGUAGAGAUGUGGAGGAACACCAAUGGCGAAGGCAGCCCCCUGGGUCGAUACUGACGCUCAUGCACGAAAGCGUGGGUAGCAAACAGGAUUAGAUACCCUGGUAGUCCACGCCCUAAACUAUGUCAACUAGGUGUUGGGUGGGUAAAACCAUUUAGUACCGUAGCUAACGCGUGAAGUUGACCGCCUGGGGAGUACGGCCGCAAGGUUAAAACUCAAAGGAAUUGACGGGGACCCGCACAAGCGGUGGAUGAUGUGGAUUAAUUCGAUGCACGCGAAAAACCUUACCUACCCUUGACAUGCCAGGAACUUGCCAGAGAUGGCUUGGUGCCCGAAAGGGAGCCUGGACACAGGUGCUGCAUGGCUGUCGUCAGCUCGUGUCGUGAGAUGUUGGGUUAAGUCCCGCAACGAGCGCAACCCUUGUCGUUAAUUGCCAUCAUUUAGUUGGGCACUUUAGCGAGACUGCCGGUGACAAACCGGAGGAAGGUGGGGAUGACGUCAAGUCCUCAUGGCCCUUAUGGGUAGGGCUUCACACGUCAUACAAUGGUCGGUACAAAGGGUCGCCAAGCCGCGAGGUGGAGCCAAUCCCAGAAAGCCGAUCGUAGUCCGGAUUGCAGGCUGCAACUCGCCUGCAUGAAGUCGGAAUCGCUAGUAAUCGUGGAUCAGCAUGUCACGGUGAAUACGUUCCCGGGUCUUGUACACACCGCCCGUCACACCAUGGGAGCGGGUUCCGCCAGAAGUAGGUAGCCUAACCGCAAGGAGGGCGCUUACCACGGCGGGGUUCGUGACUGGGGUGAAGUCGGAACAAGGUAGCCGUAGGGGAACCUGCGGCUG